GGCAUGGCUGUCUAUGCUCAUAUUGCAAUUGAUUUUUGAUGAUAUAUUGAUCAAUACUAUACCCUAAAUGAUUAUCAUCAGAGUUACGCUCAUUAAUUUUAUCCCAUACCACAUCAAGAAUAUUAGUCACAAAGAAACGAUGAGCAUAUCAUUAUACCAGUGCAAGAAUGAUUACGACAGAAGAGUAGACCACACUCCUUGAGACUACGAAAUGAAAUGGAUUGGAGAGAAUCCAGCAACACACCUACAUAUCGAGUCUGUGGAGAGGCAGGCCAUAAUAGACCAAGAACAAGAAAUAGAGAAUGAUAUCUGCCCCG
rnacentral:lncRNA from 1 species